rnacentral:rRNA from 1 species
GACGAACGCUGGCGGCGUGCUUAACACAUGCAAGUCGAACGGAAAGGCCCUGCUUUUGUGGGGUGCUCGAGUGGCGAACGGGUGAGUAACACGUGAGUAACCUGCCCUUGACUUUGGGAUAACUUCAGGAAACUGGGGCUAAUACCGGAUAGGAGCUCCUGCUGCAUGGUGGGGGUUGGAAAGUUUUGGCGGUUGGGGAUGGACUCGCGGCUUAUCAGCUUGUUGGUGGGGUAGUGGCUUACCAAGGCUUUGACGGGUAGCCGGCCUGAGAGGGUGACCGGCCACAUUGGGACUGAGAUACGGCCCAGACUCCUACGGGAGGCAGCAGUGGGGAAUAUUGCACAAUGGGCGGAAGCCUGUUGCAGCAACGCCGCGUGCGGGAUGACGGCCUUCGGGUUGUAAACCGCUUUCGCCUGUGACGAAGCGUGAGUGACGGUAAUGGGUAAAGAAGCACCGGCUAACUACGUG